CGAAACGGAGUAAAGGAAGAUAGUUAGGUACAGUCAUUUCCAUUUGAAGCUCACAAAAAACGUGAAUCGUGCACGCCCGAAAUGUCCCCAUAAAGCAGGUACUUAAUGAAUGGCAUCGAAAUAACCGUUUUCAUUUUCCAUAAAGACCGAAACUAGCGCACAGCACUGCUCGGUGUGAAGAGAGAAAAUGUAAAUAGAAAUGAGCUUUCCCUGCUACUACUAACGGCAUAGAGCUGCACAGAGCGUACUGUAGAAUGGCGAAAUGUCGUUCAUCACAGUGGCAACCAACGGUUCCUUCUUUUUGGGAGCGUACGUAGGAGGAAAAGCUGCCCAAGACGGACACGGUACACAUCUGAUUGUCAAAAGGAAGUUCUGGAAUCCGGAGGACACUUUCCUGCUUCUGCGUGACAUCGGCCAACCAUCAACGACACGCCAACGGCAAACGGCCACAGCACAACAGCAACAUCCAGAUCCAGAGCUGUGUCCAACCGUUGCAGAAGAGAAAAGGACAGUUUACAAAGCUGGCUCGGAGAUCGGGACGGUGGACGCAGCAAAAUUUUACAUCAUGGCGGGCAGAGCAACAAAAAGGAGCAAGGAAACGGUCAGGAAAAUGGCAUAGCUCAGCAGCAUUGCGCUAGCAGAACGAGCCAACGUCGCCUUGAAAGCCGAAUGCCGCCGAGCACAGAACGGGCAAGGGAAGAAAGACACAAACUCAGCAGGAUAUACUCUCCCUGUAUGCAGGGCAACAGGGCCAAAGAAGGGAGAAGCGGUGGUCGGCGUAACUACCUCUAUCUUUCGGUUUCGGACCAACAAAACGGGGGGGAAAAAGAAGAUAAGUACUAAAUCAGCAAACCCACACAGCAACGCAUUGGGAUUGAAACAGUUCUUGGUUUACUUUUUUUUUCUGUGCGUGUUAAAUGUCGAAUAGAAUUUCUAGGACACUUGCCGGCAGGAAGCGAAUGUCCUGUGUGUGUGUGUGUGUGUGUGUGUGUGUGUGUGUGUGUGUGUGUGUGUGUGUGUGUGUGUGCAAUGCAGGCGAGUUUUGUCCUUGUCGGCAAGAAUACAAAAAAGUACAAAACGUUGUGCAAUGGAGCAACUAUAGCGGGGAAAAUUUAGAAGAAUAGUCUCAGGCCCAGGAGAGGAGAGGAGAAGAAGGAUGGGACAAUUGUUAAUGGUUCUGUGGCAAAUGGAAUGUGCUGAAAAGUGUCAAUUCUGGGAAUUUGACAGGGUUGGGCUAUAAACUUGGCAGAACAUCCACAGCUGACUGCAAAGUUCAGCAAGAUUCCAUUAUAUGACUGCAGAUCUCCCCAAGAGGACUUUUAAUAUUCCAUUUUUCAUUCGAAAAACUCUCCAAACUAAACGACCUGUUAGGGUCAUGUCCGUUAUUUGUGGUUUACUAGACUUAUUGAUACCGCAUAGAUGGAUAGUCAGUCCUCACUAUGGGGGUACGGCCCAGAUGAGAUUUGAACCCCGGUCCUGCCGCUGUCGCAUGUCCACCGGGCUGCCCCGACACCAUAUUAAAGGCUUGAAAUUAUUACCAAGUAAGAAUGUUCGAUUCCUAAACUAAUAUUAUUUGUAUUCUUUUCUUAAUUUUUCUCCUAAUUUCUUGUGGAAUAAAUGAAAAGCUUUCUUGAAGCUUAAAAAAAAAGAACUAUAUCUAAAGCCAUUUUACCCCGAAUAUAAAGUGAUUUUAUAAAACCUUAUUUAACGCUACAAAUACUCUCUUCAUUCCGAUGCAUUAGAACCACGUGUGUCAGAUGAAGUUCUCACCGUUUAGUUCCCUUCAAUAAGAAAUCGAACGCAUUUUGGCAAAUCUCUUUCUCACACACACACAUACACCGUCCGAUGAAAAAGGGAUUGAUGAAAGGUUUUGAUGAAAGAUGAAGAAAAACAAUAAAGGAUACGCGAGGCAAUGGGCCAUGUUUCAUGGUUUCAUCGACCAUCGAAUGCAUCUUACCGAUCGUACGGUCGGAUUUUAUGCACCGAAAAAAUACCAAUACAUAAGGGACACACACACACACACUUAUAGCAUGGAAAGAAAGGAGACGAAACAGACCCCGAACACACCCUGGGGCGCGCUUAAGGCUUACACAAAAUGGAGGAUACUACAUCAUCAAACCGGCGCAGGCUGCUGCCGGUCUGGUCUGUUGGUUCUAUUCCACGCUACCUGGCUCUGUUGCUUUAAUGCUUACUCUUAAAAAUAUAAAACUUAACCGACAACGAUAAAGUUGUUUUUCUACCGAAAUAUUUUUAUAAAAACUAUAAAAAGGGAUGGUAAUGUGAGGUGCAAACUUAAUCCCACAAAGAUUGCUUCCCACACACGCUGUAAAGGUAAUUAUGUGUAGUAGAAGAAGAUGAAAAGACUUUCUCUUUUUGGCUCCUUCCUUGUUUUCGCGGCUGCAAGGAUACCAAUUUUUAAUGGAUACACGAUUUAGUGUGGCUGCAAAACAAAAAAAUACUUUCCCCACGAAAGGAACUGGUUGCGCGUGUUUCAUAAAUACAAAAGGAGAAUUUAACCUCAUUUUUGAUCAUUUUCUCAUCAGUAUUUCUGGAUCGAAGGCUCGACAAGAAAGAGGAAUCGGCAAAGAGGCACGUCGUUGCCCAAAUACCUUCAAGACAAGGCACAGACACAAGACACGCAGGAGCGGUAUAUCUGGGGUCCCUAGUUAUGGCAAAAGGAGGUUGGUGGCCAAAUUGCCAAAAAGAAGACAGCGCAGCAUGGAGGCUGAAGCUCAGGAUCAUGCACAGGCGUACUAGUAGAGAAACUAUACCAAUAUUUCUUAUCAUUAAACAAUUUCGCUGAGGAAGAGUUUAAUCAGAUGCAAUAUAUAUUGCCGAAAGAAAGGCAAUACCACAAGAAGUCAAGCCAAGGAUUGGACGCCUUUAU